ACCCUCUUAGGGUCUCACCUGGAGAGUUUCCACUACUCUACCAGUCUCUACUAUAGGAGGGAGAGUAAAGCAGAGACCUAUCCAUUACAUUUCUAGCUUGGCCAGGGGCUAGUGAGUGGAAGGCAAUCUGCUACAAGU
rfam:Ornithorhynchus anatinus chromosome 3, whole genome shotgun sequence.